UGGGGGAUAUUGCACAAUGGGCGAAAGCCUGAUGCAGCGACGCCGCGUGGGGGAUGAAGGCCUUCGGGUUGUAAACUUCUUUUGCUCUGAACAAGGCGCACCAUGGGGUGUGUUGAGUGUAGGGGUUGAUUAGCGCCGGCUAACUACGUGCCAGCAGCCGCGGUAAUACGUAGGGCGCGAGCGUUGUCCGGAAUUAUUGGGCGUAAAGGGCUUGUAGGUGGCUGGUUGCGUCUGUCGUGAAAGCUCAUGGCUUAACUGUGGGUUUGCGGGGGGUACGGGCUGGCUUGAGUGCAGUAGGGGAGGCUGGAAUUCCUGGUGUAGCGGUGGAAUGCGCAGAUAUCAGGAGGAAUACCGGUGGCGAAGGCGGGUCUCUGGGCUGUUACUGACACUGAGGAGCGAAAGCAUGGGGAGCGAACAGG
rnacentral:rRNA from 1 species